AGUGAACGCUGGCGGUAGGCCUAACACAUGCAAGUCGAACGGCAGCACAGUAAAAGCUUGCUCUUACGGGUGGCGAGUGGCGGACGGGUGAGGAAUACAUCGGAAUCUACUUUUUCGUGGGGGAUAACGUAGGGAAACUUACGCUAAUACCGCAUACGACCUACGGGUGAAAGCAGGGGAUCUUCGGACCUUGCGCGAUUGAAUGAGCCGAUGUCGGAUUAGCUAGUUGGCGGGGUAAAGGCCCACCAAGGCGACGAUCCGUAGCUGGUCUGAGAGGAUGAUCAGCCACACUGGAACUGAGACACGGUCCAGACUCCUACGGGAGGCAGCAGUGGGGAAUAUUAGACGAUGGGCGCAAGCCUGAUCCAGCCAUACCGCGUGGGUGAAGAAGGCCUUCGGGUUGUAAAGCCCUUUUGUUGGGAAAGAAAAGCAGCAGGUUAAUACCCCGCUGUUCUGACGGUACCCAAAGAAUAAGCACCGGCUAACUUCGUG
rnacentral:rRNA from 1 species